CCCGAUCCUUUCCUCGUCGCUCCCUCUUCGUUGAGCUCGCGACGUUGUGGCCUAGCCAACUCGUGCCGCCCGAACUUCUAUCCUCGUCCCGAUUCUCUCCUCUCACCACUGCAUAUCACAUCCUCUCGAUCCCCUCUACCUCUUGCAGUGGUGUUUCCAUCUGGUCUUCGUCACCGACUAGAGGAGUAGCUACCAGCGCCUCUGCGUACCUGAAGCAGCCGUCCACUUCGGUCAUCGGCUCGUAUAUCUCCUCCCUCUCUAUCCGAGCCAUCCCACCCAGGUGAGUUAUCGGCCAAGGGAAGAGGUCUCGAUCUAGCCAUCGAUCCACCCGAUCACCACAAGCACCGAUUGAAUGAUGGUUACCGCUGUCACCAGGAGGGGCAAACGACGCAAGAGAGGUUGAGAUGCUACCCUCCCUCAGCUUGGGGUCCCAAAUCAGAGCGAUGAAUCCUUGGAUUCCCUGCCUCUGUUGUGUUGUUCCUGUCACCGGAGUUGUACCACAACCAUUGUCCCAGCACAUAGUCGCAACUGACAUUGCUACUGGCUCACCAUCGCUGCACUUCUUUCCGAUCACUCACCUUGCCAUCACGGAUGCGUGGCUAAGAUCAUAUGUUUGAUGAAAUGUCUAAUUCCUCUUGAUGUCGCUGUUUGUGUCGUCAAUGUUGUCAUCGACCACCAUCUUUCGUGAGUAGUUGUUGGAUUAAUGAACAACCCUGGAGAAGAAGAGGGAGCCAUAGGAGGGAUGGUGAUUUCAUCUUCUCUGGCAGAGAGUUAUAGCAGCUAUGGUCAUUAGCUGGGCCAUCAAUUCCGGAUGUUGAUUCGAGAUAGCAUCUCGGUAUGGGAUUAUUUAGCAUGAUCAUUAGAUAAAGGCGGGUACUUCUUGCUUUAUCAAUUUAGUACAUUGAUCUUAGUGCAUGAGCUAAAAAAUUCAAAUAGUUACUGUGUUCAUCUUGACUCCACUCGUAUUUUUCUUGUACUUGAAGCUUAUCCACUUGAUCUUUGAGCUACUCAUUUCUGUAUCUAUACAGUCUCUCGUUGCUAUCUAUGAUAUUUAGAAAAUACCAUAUACCUGAUACUAGAUAUUAUAUACUGGAUACCAGAUACUAGGUAGUAGAUAUUGGUUAUAUGGAUACUGGAUACCAUGUUUACUUGUUUUGGAUGUUGUAUGUUUACAUACCUUACUAAGCAUGCUGGCUUCAUGUAGCAU